rnacentral:rRNA from 1 species
GACGAACGCUGGCGGCGUGCUUAACACAUGCAAGUCGAACGGAAAGGCCCUUCCUUUGUGGGGUGCUCGAGUGGCGAACGGGUGAGUAACACGUGAGUAACCUGCCCUGCACUUUGGGAUAACUUCAGGAAACUGGGUCUAAUACCGGAUAGGAGCUCCUGCUGGAUGGUGUGGUGGGGAGAGUUUCGGCGUGUGGGGAUGGAUUCGCGGCUUAUCAUUUUGUUGGGGGGGUAGUGGCUUACAAAGGCUUUGAGGGGUAGCCGGCCGGAGGGGGGGACCGGCAACAUUGGGACUGAGAUAGGGCCCAGACUCCUCGGGGAGGCAGAAGUGGGGAAUAUUGACAAAUGGGCGGAACCCUGAUGAAGCACCGCCGGGUGGGGGAUGACGGCCUUCGGGUUGUAACCCGCUUUCGCCUGUGACGAAGCGUGAGUGACGGUAACGGGUAAAGAAGCCACGGCUAAAUAAGUG